UACGUAGGGUGCGAGCGUUAAUCGGAAUUACUGGGCGUAAAGCGUGCGCAGGCGGUUCGUUAAGUCAGCUGUGAAAGCCCCCGGGCUCAACCUGGGAACUGCGGUUGAAACUGGCGAACUAGAAUCUGGCAGAGGGGGGGUGGAAUUCCACGUGUAGCAGUGAAAUGCGUAGAGAUGUGGAGGAACACCGAUGGCGAAGGCGGGUCUCUGGGCAGUAACUGACGCUGAGGAGCGAAAGCGUGGGGAGCGAACAGG
rnacentral:rRNA from 1 species